rnacentral:rRNA from 1 species
GAUGAACGCUGGCGGCGUGCCUAAUACAUGCAAGUCGAGCGAACGGACGAGAAGCUUGCUUCUCUGAUGUUAGCGGCGGACGGGUGAGUAACACGUGGAUAACCUACCUAUAAGACUGGGAUAACUUCGGGAAACCGGAGCUAAUACCGGAUAAUAUUUUGAACCGCAUGGUUCAAAAGUGAAAGGCGGUCUUGCUGUCACUUAUAGAUGGAUCCGCGCUGCAUUAGCUAGUUGGUAAGGUAACGGCUUACCAAGGCAACGAUGCAUAGCCGACCUGAGAGGGUGAUCGGCCACACUGGAACUGAGACACGAUCCAGACUCCUACGGGAGGCAGCAGUAGGGAAUCUUCCGCAAUGGGCGAAAGCCUGACGGAGCAACGCCGCGUGAGUGAUGAAGGUCUUCGGAUCGUAAAACUCUGUUAUUAGGGAAGAACAUAUGUGUAAGUAACUGUGCACAUCUUGACGGUACCUAAUCAGAAAGCCACGGCUAACUACGUG